UACGAAGGGGGCUAGCGUUGCUCGGAAUUACUGGGCGUAAAGCGCACGUAGGCGGCUUCUUAAGUCGGUGGUGAAAUCCUGGAGCUCAACUCCAGAACUGCCUUCGAUACUGGGGAGCUCGAGUCCGGAAGAGGAGAGUGGAAUUCCUGGUGUAGCGGUGAAAUGCGCAGAUAUCAGGAAGAACACCCGUGGCGAAGGCGGCUCUCUGGGACGGUACUGACGCUGAGACGCGAAAGCGUGGGGAGCGAACAGG
rnacentral:rRNA from 1 species